UAACAUCGCAACAUGGCUGUGUGUAAAAAUGCUGGCUGGAUAGACCAUUAUUUUGGCUAUGCCCACAUGACUGCCGACUCAGGGCAUUGACUGGUUUGAUGCGCAUGAAAACCAUAUGGCCGUCUCAGUCACCAGAGCUCAACCCAAUUGAACACUUUCCCCCACCAUCAACAAAACACCAGACGAUGGACUUUCUUGUGGAAAUAUGUUGUCGCAUCCCUCCAAUAGAGUUCCAGUGGAACCUAUACCAAGGUGCAUUGAAGCUGUUCUGGCUCGUGGUGGCACAACGCCCUGUUAAGACUCGGUUUGUUUUCACUUUAUUUUGGUAGUUACUUUUACCCUUCAAUAAACUUGGCUUCUCUCAUGAGUUUAACCUAAUGGUCGCAUACUCAGUGAAAGGCACAGAUGUACGCUGUUUUAGGUGAAAGAGUUAUGCAAAACAGACAACCUAGUAACCUACACAAGAUUAUGGGAUGAGAUGAACAGAAAGCAGUCCUCAAACUAUCUAUUUGAGAUGUUAGCAUACCUAGGCUACACUGUAGCAACUUCUAAUUUAUCCACACCUUGGUAAUAGUCGAAUGCAAGAUGACAUUUGUUACCACCGGGCAACAUCUACGUGGAAAAACUAACAACGUGGGGUGCAUGGACGAGAACUACAGGUUUCUGGACUUGAAAGGGACAACAUGGGACAUCUGUGUGUUUGAGGAAGAUCAUAAAGGACUCGAACCACAGACUUUUCACUGUUACCAUCUGCUGAGCGGUGUUGGAGCAUCGGGUCUCGGACGAACAGGCUCCGAGACAGCUUCUACCGCCAGGCCAUCAGACUGCUAAACAGCUAACCCUAGCUGUCUCCCUGCGCAGACAUGCACCUUAGACCCUAGCUGUCUCCCUGCACAGACAUGCACCUCAGACCCUAGCUGUCUCCCUGCGCAGACAUGCACCUUAGACCCUAGCUGUCUCCCUGCACAGACAUGCACCUUAGACCCUAGCUGUCUCCCUGCACAGACAUGCACCUCAGACCCUAGCUGUCUCCCUGCGCAGACAUGCACCUUAGACCCUAGCUGUCUCCCUGUGCAGACAUGCACCUUAGAACCUAGCUGUACCUUAGAACCUAGCUGUACCUUAGAACCUAGCUGUACCUUAGAACCUAGCUGCACCUUAGAACCUAGCUGCACCUUGUUCAUUAUCUGUUCUAUAUAUUCUAUUGCUAUUCUGCAAAUCCAUUCACAAUCUAUUCAGUAUAUCGUAUUGUGUACUAAGCAUACUACAUCUUCUAUUACGUGUAAUUUUGUAUUUGACCUAUUAAUGUUGAUUAUUGUACUGCAAUGUUGAGGGAACUAGCACACAAGCAUUUCCCUGCACCUUUUAUACCUGCUGUAAACUGUGUACAUGACAAAAAAAAUGGAUUUGAUUGAAAGGUUAAGUCUAUUUGUGAUGUCUCAUACUAAAGAAAAACCCUGUUUAGACCAAUCAUCUGAAUUUAGGGUCAGGCUCCAAUUGACAAUUGGUUAGUGUCCAAAUAACAUCCUCCCUCUGCCUGUCUCUUGAUGUAUCCCUCUUCAGCUCUCUCUCCCGUGGGGAGCUCUUCACAGAGAUUUCUCUAGUUAUUAUGGCUGCUGUGUAAAUCCAGGUGUCUACUAAAGUGCUCCAUCCAUGAAUAAUACUCAGGGAAUGGCCAUGGUAUACAGACAGAUACAAUGAUUCUGUAUAGAAAUACUUCCUGUGGUUGACUACAACAACAAAAAGGGUCAAGUGAUCUAGUUAAAUCAGCACAUCACUCAAUUUGUUAAAUGUUGCAUACAGUACAACAAUCUCAGAAGAAACUAACGACUGUACCAUUAUUAAUACGUCUAAGUAUAUCUGAUUCAGUAAUACGUUUUCCUAAAAUGGAUCUCUCUGUACUUAACCAAGUCUCCUGUGUGACAGUGCCAGCAAACUGCACUUGUGUUGUGGUCUUUCUGUCCCAAUGGUCUCUCCCUCUCCUUUGUGAUGUAAAACUGCAAAAAUAUUGGACUCAAAAAAUGGCCAUUGAAAUAUUGACAUAUAAAAAAAAGAAAUGUUUUAUUUCAAGUGUUUUAAUUAAUGUUAGAAAACAGACUGUAGUUUUUUUGUCAGGAGUUUAAAUACAGGUCUCUAGUGCCCUCUAGUGUUUUGAAAGUGAUGUGUUAAGUUUCGAGUUGACGCCUACAGUACAUGUGCAACACGAAGGCGUCAUAAUGAACGAUCGCUCUUAAAACAAUGUUUAUAUUCAUGAGAUAAGAUCAUGUAGAAAUGUUAGAUAUGUUUUUCUUUGGUGGGUGAUUAUAUUUGUCCUAUUACACAUGCACAAGUGUAUCAAUAAUACACACACGAGUGAAAUGGAAAGUCAUAUUUUUUGU